rnacentral:rRNA from 1 species
GGUAGUCCACGCCGUAAACGAUGGCCACUCGGCCUUUGGGGGCAGAUUCUCUGCCCGUGGGGGCCUUAGCUAACGCGGGAAGUGGCCCGCCUGGGAACUACGAGCGCAAGCUUAAAACUCAAAGGAAUUGACGGGGCCCGCACAAGCAGCGGAGCGUGUGGUUUAAUUCGACGCAACGCGCAGAACCUUACCCAGGUUUGACAUGUGACUGCAAGGUGGUGAAAGCCACUCGCCUUCGAGGGUGUCACACAGAUGCUGCAUGGCUGUCGUCAGCUCGUGUCGUGAGAUGUUGGGUUAAG